GCUGGGAGUGGCAGGAGAACAAUAUCAAGCGGUUGGGGUAGCCCAGUAGUAUCAGCAAGAACUUCAAUCAAUCUACUUUCACCACUGGAUAUGCAGCCUCAGUGGAUGACAUCUGGGGAGAAAAGGAACACUAUGCAGACCAAUUGAGACAACAUCUCCUCUGUGCUGAAGCUCUGAGAGAACAGACACAAGGUGUUGGGGGAGGAGCAGCAGACUGGAUGGAGAGGACUGAGACGAGAUCUAAGACGAGCAGAAGAUGCUGGAUGAACAGAGAGAAAGGAAACACCAGUAAAGCAAAA